UACGUAGGGACCAAGCGUUGUCCGGAAUCAUUGGGCGUAAAGAGCGUGUAGGCGGCUUGUUAAGUCUUGCGUGAAAUCUCGGGGCUCAACCCCGAGCGGUCGUGAGAAACUGGCAGGCUAGAGUGCGGGAGAGGAGAGUGGAAUUCCUGGUGUAGCGGUGAAAUGCGCAGAUAUCAGGAGGAACACCGGUGGCGAAGGCGGGAUCCUGGGCCAGUACUGACGCUGAGGAGCGAAAGCGUGGGGAGCAAACAGG
rnacentral:rRNA from 1 species